GACGAACCGUGCGACCGUUAUUCGGAAUCACUGGGCUUAAAGCGCGUGUAGGCGGAAGGGCACGUCCGUUGCUGAAAUCCCCCGGCUCAACCGGGGAACGGGCGCGGAUACGACUCUUCUGGAGGGGCGUAGGGGGACCUGGAACUUCCGGUGGAGCGGUGAAAUGCGUUGAGAUCGGAAGGAACGCCCGUGGCGAAAGCGAGGUCCUGGACGCCUACUGACGCUGAGACGCGAAAGCCAGGGGAGCGAACGGG
rnacentral:rRNA from 1 species